CAGCCGCGGUAAUACGUAGGGACCAAGCGUUGUUCGGAUUUACUGGGCGUAAAGGGCGCGUAGGCGGCAAUUCAAGUCAGCUGUGAAAUCCCCGGGCUUAACCUGGGAACUGCAUUGGUGACUGGCAGGCUUUGAGUGUGGCAGAGGGAGGUAGAAUUCCACGUGUAGCAGUGAAAUGCGUAGAGAUGUGGAGGAAUACCGGUGGCGAAGGCGGCAUCCUGGACCGGCAUUGACGCUGAGGCGCGAAAGCCAGGGGAGCAAACGGGAUUAGAUACCCUGGUAGUCCCAGCCCUAAACGAUGUCCACCGGGUGCCGGGGGUAUCGACCCCUCCGGUGCCGCAGCUAACGUGGUGAGUGGACCGCCUGGGGAGUACGGCCGCAAGGUUGAAACUUAAAGGAAUUGACGGCCGUCAAUUCCUUUAAGUUUUGGUCAAGCCGCCACACACAAAGCAGUUGCGCCAGCCAACGUCUAUCCGAUUCAAGAAGGGUUCGUCGAUCAGAACGGAGCGAUGACCUAUUACUGGGUUGUCGGACACGGAACUCCGCUCGUGAUCGUGCACGGUGGUCCAGGCGCUUCGCAUGACUACUUCCUUCCAUACCUGCUGCCUCCCGUAGGAG
rnacentral:rRNA from 1 species